rnacentral:rRNA from 1 species
AACGAACGCUGGCGGCAGGCUUAACACAUGCAAGUCGAGCGCCCCGCAAGGGGAGCGGCAGACGGGUGAGUAACGCGUGGGAAUCUACCCAUCUCUACGGAAUAACGCAUGGAAGCGUGUGCUAAUACCGUAUACGUCCUUCGGGAGAAAGAUUUAUCGGAGAUGGAUGAGCCCGCGUUGGAUUAGCUAGUUGGUGGGGUAAAGGCCUACCAAGGCGACGAUCCAUAGCUGGUCUGAGAGGAUGAUCAGCCACACUGGGACUGAGACGCGGCCCAGACUCCUACGGGAGGCAGCAGUGGGGAAUAUUGGACAAUGGGCGCAAGCCUGAUCCAGCCAUGCCGCGUGAGUGAUGAAGGCCCUAGGGUUGUAAAGCUCUUUCACCGGUGAAGAUAAUGACGGUAACCGGAGAAGAAGCCCCGGCUAACUACGUGCCAGCCGCCGCGGUAACAC